rnacentral:lncRNA from 1 species
GUAAGGGUCCAGGAUGGAUUUGUAAAUUACAGAAUUUUAUUUAAUAGACCAGAUUGUUAUUUUAAUGAAAUUCUAAGGAAAAUUGUAAAGGCCAUAUGCAACAUGUUUAAAUAUUGAGUAUUCUUAACAGUAUAAAGCCUAGGGAAUGAUAUGAAGGUGAGAACUUCAGUUAACGUUAAGAAAAUGUGACUGAGCAUUUACUUUAGAAUUAAGUUUGUUAAGCUGCAAAAUACUACUCUUACACUUCUCUUAAAUAAAACCUUCUGACUAUUAAAGCCUUGAUUAAUAUCCUGUCAACAAAGGCGGAGGAAAGCAGAUAUUUCCAAAUAGUACUUUAACUAAUUCAUGCUUUAAUGAUAGCAGUAAAAAUGUUUAAAUGUAGUCCCACAUAUUAUUUUACCAACCCUGCA